UAACAAGGAUUCCCCUAGUAACUGCGAGUGAAGCGGGAAAAGCUCAAAUUUAAAAUCUGGCAGUUUUGCUGUCCGAGUUGUAAUCUGGAGAAGCGUUUUCGGUGCAGGACCGUGUACAAGUCUCUUGGAAUGGAGCAUCAUAGAGGGUGAGAAUCCCGUCUUUGACAUGGACUACCUGUGCUUUGUGAUACGCUCUCAAAGAGUCGAGUUGUUUGGGAAUGCAGCUCAAAAUGGGUGGUAAAUUCCAUCUAAAGCUAAAUAUUGGCGAGAGACCGAUAGCGAACAAGUACCGUGAGGGAAAGAUGAAAAGCACUUUGGAAAGAGAGUUAAACAGUACGUGAAAUUGUUGAAAGGGAAACGCUUGAAGUCAGCCGCGUUGUCUAGGACUCAGCCUUGCUUUUGCUUGGUGUACUUCCUAGUUAACGGGUCAACAUCGAUUUCAGUCAGUGGAUAAGGGUAAGGGGAAGGUGGCACCUUCGGGUGUGUUAUAGCCUCUUACCGUAUACACUUACCGGGAUCGAGGACUGCAGCACUUGUGCUUUAGGAUGUUGGCAUAAUGGCUUUAAGCGACCCGUCUUGAAACACGGACCAAGGAGUCUAACAUGCCUGCGAGUGUUAGGGUGGAAAACCCUUGCGCGUAAUGAAAGUGAAAGUUGGGACCUCUGUCAUGGGGGGCACCGACGCCCGGUCCUGAACUUCUGUGACGGUACUGCGGUAGAGCAUGUAUGUUGGGACCCGAAAGAUGGUGAACUAUGCCUGAAUAGGGUGAAGCCAGAGGAAACUCUGGUGGAGGCUCGUAGCGAUUCUGACGUGCAAAUCGAUCGUCAAAUUUGGG
rnacentral:rRNA from 1 species